rnacentral:rRNA from 1 species
AGAGUUUGAUCCUGGCUCAGGACGAACGCUGGCGGCAUGCUUAAUACAUGCAAGUCGAACGAGCUUCCGUUGAAUGACGUGCUUGCACUGAUUUCAACAAUGAAGCGAGUGGCGAACUGGUGAGUAACACGUGGGGAAUCUGCCCAGAAGCAGGGGAUAACACUUGGAAACAGGUGCUAAUACCGUAUAACGACAAAAUCCGCAUGGAUUUUGUUUGAAAGGUGGCUUCGGCUAUCACUUCUGGAUGAUCCCGCGGCGUAUUAGUUAGUUGGUGAGGUAAAGGCCCACCAAGACGAUGAUACGUAGCCGACCUGAGAGAGUAAUCGGCCACAUUGGGACUGAGACACGGCCCAAACUCCUACGGGAGGCAGCAGUAGGGAAUCUUCCACAAUGGACGAAAGUCUGAUGGAGCAAUGCCGCGUGAGUGAAGAAGGGUUUCGGCUCGUAAAACUCUGUUGUUAAAGAAGAACACCUUUGGGAGUAACUGUUCAAGGGUUGACGGUAUUUAACCAGAAAGCCACGGCUAACUACGUGCCAGCAGCCGCGGUAAUACGUAGGUGGCAAGCGUUGUCCGGAUUUAUUGGGCGUAAAGCGAGCGCAGGCGGUUUUUUAAGUCUGAUGUGAAAGCCUUCGGCUUAACCGGAGAAGUGCAUCGGAAACUGGGAGACUUGAGUGCAGAAGAGGACAGUGGAACUCCAUGUGUAGCGGUGGAAUGCGUAGAUAUAUGGAAGAACACCAGUGGCGAAGGCGGCUGUCUAGUCUGUAACUGACGCUGAGGCUCGAAAGCAUGGGUAGCGAACAGGAUUAGAUACCCUGGUAGUCCAUGCCGUAAACGACGAGUGCUAAGUGUUGGAGGGUUUCCGCCCUUCAGUGCUGCAGCU